GCCGUAGCAGCCCUGUCGGAUUGGGGCGCCUGGUCUUCGUGCCGGGGAUUGCAGGUUCGACUCCUGUCUGCGGCG
rnacentral:tRNA from 1 species